AUGUGGACAGUCACCUGCAGUAACAGCUGUUCAUCUGUUGGGAUCCUGAUCUUAACCCACCACUUUAAGAAGAGCAGGCAAACUCAAUUUGGAACCCUGAGAAGGGACACAGGUGUGUGGCUCAAUACCCGGCACCUUGCACGUUCUCACAAGUGGAGGGGCUCUGUCAUCAACCCACUUGCCCACUUCCCUUCACUGCCUACUAAUUCUGAGAAUACAGCCAACUCCUUCCACUUGCAAAAUCCCGCAAAACCCAUCGGUUUUAUGGUUUGUGGUUCAGAAGCAACAAUAUGCAAAACAGUGGAAUAGUCUAUGCUGCCCUGCACCUGAAUAAGCCUUCUCUUGUCCUGCAAGAGCUGAAGAACCCAGAAUCCUUGUGCCUGCGGGAACUGACUAAAUGUUAGAGCACCCUGGGAGGGGCCAAGCCCGUCAGGGUCAAGGCAAGUAGUGAGGGGCGCGAUCACCCUCAGGGGCCCACUGUGUAACCAGAGCUGUGUACAUGUAUGCAGGGUGUGGAGAAUGACCCACCAUGGGCCAUUUCUCCUCAAGGCUCUGGAGUUUCCAAUUUGGGAAUUUAGUUAAAGAAGUAAUUCCCCACUAAUUGGUUAUAAAGCUAUUCUGCUACAUUAUAUGUUACUAACUUUGUAGUAUUAUCUUUUGCAUUUAGGAAUUUAUUCCUUUCUGAAUAAAACUUUGCUUGUGUCUUUCA
rnacentral:lncRNA from 1 species